UGUUGGGAUGAUUGUGUAAUAUACUGGAACUUGAAGGUCUUAAAGGUUAUUUUCUUAAGGACCUAUCAGCAAAUAUUGUAUGAGUUUGUUAGUUGAAUAUGGAGCUGUUGGAGCAGACUUCAAUCUCAGCCGUUGGAUGAGUUUCUUUCUGUUCAAGAUAGGUCUUCAUCAACAAAACAAAACAAGUGCAGCUGGGUUUCAGUUAGAGAGUGAUCAUCUUCGUUUUCCUUCUUCAUCUUUUACUGAGUGGAAAAAGUAAAGUGGAGAGGUGUGUGUUUUCAUGAGAGAUUGAGAUGUGUUCUGAUCUGCUUGUGUGCUGUAACUUCACUCUUGAUUCUUGGCAAUAAAAUCUUCGAUUUACUUCCCGUGGAUGUAGGAUAAGAGAUUAUCCGAACCACGUAAAUUCCCAUUGUGUUGCUGUUAUAUGUUUUGAUUCAUAUUGCUUGAUAGAGUUGAUUGUUGUUGCGUUGGUGGUGGAAGAUACCAGAUUGAGUGCAAUUGGUUUUCUUUCAAUCUACAAUUGGCGCCGUCUGUGGGAACCUCCAACCCGCGGUGCGAUCUUUGCGAUCUGAUCUUGUCGGCGAUUACUGUGAUUACAAAUCUUGUAAUUGCUUCGAUCGGCGAUGGCGACAACAAGGUAUGAAGCGGAGAAGUUCAAUGGCAAGAACGAUUUUGCCAUAUGGCAAAUAAAGAUGCGAGCCUUGCUGGUGCAGCAGGGGCUAGCUGGAUUUCUGAGGGAAGAAUCAAAGGAUGCGAAGGCAACCGAUGAUAAAGCCGGAGUGGUCGAUGCCAAGAAUGCCGAAUUGCAGGAGAAAGCUCAUAGUGCAAUUAUCUUGAACUUAAGUGAUAAAGUUCUAAGAGAAGUUGCCAAGGAGAAGACUGCAGCAGCUGUGUGGAGCAAGCUUGAAAGUCUGUACAUGGAGAAAUCUCUGGCAAAUCGGCUGUAUUCGAAGCAAAGACUUUACUCAUUUAAGAUUGUGGAUGGCAAGAACAUACUUGAGCAGCUGGAUGAAUUUAAUAAAGCCAUAGACGAUUUGGAGAAUAUAGAGGUGAUUCUUGGUGAAGAAGACAAAGCAAUUGUACUGUUGAAUGCACUGCCUAAGUCAUAUGAACACCUGAAAGAUGCAAUGCUGUAUGGCCGUGAUAAAUCCAUCACACUGGAAGAGGUGGAGUCAGCCAUCAAAGCAAAGGAACUCCAGAAAAUGUCAGGAUCAAAGACUGAGACACCAGCUGAAGGAUUGAAUGUAAAAGCCAAGUCCAAGAAAGAAAAGAAGUUUAAGAAACCUCAGGAAUCUGAUAAGAAGUUUCAAAAGAAACCGAAGAAAGAGGAUGGUGAUAAGGAAGAAAGAAAAUGUUUCUUUUGCAAGAAACCUGGACACAUCCUGAAGAACUGCUAUUCUUGGAAAAAGAAACAAGCAGAACAGCCCAAGGAAUCAAAUUCUGCAGACAUCACUGAAGGAUGUGAAAGUGCAGAAAUGCUGAACAUUGUGAAUCACAGCAUUGGUGAUGAUUGGAUAAUGGACAGUGGGUGCACAUUCCAUAUGUGUCAUGUAAAAGAUUGGUUUACAGACAUUGAAUUUGGGGUGAAAGGAUCUGUGAUUCUGGGAAACAAUGAAUCAUGCCAAGUGAAAGGCAUAGGAUCUGUCACCAUUAAGAAUCAUAUUGGGCAGGUGAAAGUGCUUCAAGAAGUAAGAUUCAUUCCCAAGUUGAAAAGAAAUUUAAUUUCACUUGGGAUGUUGGAAAAGAAAGGGUACAGUUUCAUGUCAGAAGCAGGAUUUCUAUCUGUGAAGAAGGGUGACACUGUGGUGCUAAAGGGGGCAAGAAAAAACAGCCUAUACCACCUUUAUAGGCACCACCAUUGUUGGAGAAACAGAGAUCAACACUUCGAGUGAAACUGAGCUGUGGCACAGAAGAUUGGGGCCAUGUUGGGAGAAAAAGGAUAAAGCAACUUCAGAAACAAGUCAUUCUCCACAUAACAACUCCUGUCAAGCUAAAAGUUUGUGAAGACUGUAUAUUGGGAAAGAGCAGAAAAGCAUCAUUCCCAACUAGGAAAAAUGGUUUCAACAAGGCCAUUGGAAUACAUUCACUGUGAUCUUUGGGGACCAGCAAAAGUCAGCACUAUGAAUGGAGGAAGGUACUAUUUCUCCCUUAUAGAUGAUUAUAGUAGAAAAUUAUGGGUUCAUAUCAUCAAGCAGAAAUCAGACACUUUUUCUAAAUUUGAACAAUGGUGUGCUGAAGUAGAAAUAGAAUACUGAUCUUAAGGUUAGAUGUAUAAGAACUGAUAAUGGAUUAGAAUUUCUAUCUGAUGAGUUUGAAAGCUACUGUAAGUCUAAGGGGAUUAAAAGGCAUAAAACUGUACCUGCAAAUCCUCAACAAAAUGGGGUUAUAGAAAGGAUGAAUAGGACUAUAUUGGAAAGGGUAAGAUGCAUGCUCACUAGCUCUGGAUUACCUGUGAGGUUUUGGGGGAAGCUGUUAAUACUGCAUGCUAUCUUAUUAAUAAAUGUCCCUCAUCUGCUNAACCUGGACAUAUCAUUAAGAACUGCUACUCUUGGAAAAAGAAACAAGCAGAACAACCCAAGGAGUCAAAUUCUGCAGACAUCACUGAAGGAUGUGAAAGUGCAGAAAUGCUGAACAUUGUGAAUCAUAGCAUUGGUGAUGAUUGGAUAAUGGACAGUGGGUGCACAUUCCAUAUGUGCCAUGUAAAAGAUUGGUUUACAGACAUUGAAUUUGGGGUGAAGGGAUCUGUUAUUUUGGGGAACAAUGAGUCAUGCCAGGUGAAAGGAAUUGGUUCUGUAAAGAUAAAGAACCAUGCUGGACAGAUUAAGAUCCUACCAGAAGUCAGGUUCAUUCCCAAAUUGAAGAGGAACUUAAUAUCACUAGGAAUGCUAGAAAAGAAAGGAUAUAGCUUCAUGUCUGAUGCUGGUUUUCUUCAUGUGAAGAAAGGUGAUACUGUGGUAUUGAAGGGGGCAAGAAAAAACAGCCUAUACCACCUUAUUGGCACCACCAUUGUUGGAGAAACAGAGAUCAACACUUCAAGUGAAACUGAGCUGUGGCACAGAAGAUUGGGUCAUGUUGGUGAAAAAGGAAUAAAGCAACUUCAGAAACAAGACAUUCUCCACAUAACAACUCCUGUCAAACUCAAAGUUUGUGAAGACUGUAUAUUGGGAAAAAGCAGGAAAGCAUCAUUCCCAACUGGGCCAUUGGAAUAUAUUCACUGUGAUCUAUGGGGACCAGCAAAAGUCAGCACGAUGAAUGGAGGAAGGUACUAUUUCUCCCUUAUAGAUGAUUAUAGUAGAAAAUUAUGGGUUCACAUCAUCAAGCAGAAAUCAGACACUUUUUCUAAGUUUGAACAAUGGUGUGCUGAAGUAGAAAAUGAAACUGAUCUUAAGGUUAGAUGUAUAAGAACUGAUAAUGGAUUAGAAUUUCUAUCUGAUGAGUUUGAAAGCUACUGUAAGUCUAAGGGGAUUAAAAGGCAUAAAACUGUACCUGCAAAUCCUCAACAAAAUGGGGUUAUAGAAAGGAUGAAUAGGACUAUAUUGGAAAGGGUAAGAUGCAUGCUCACUAGCUCUGGAUUACCUGUGAGGUUUUGGGGGGAAGCUGUUAAUACUGCAUGCUAUCUUAUUAAUAAAUGUCCCUCAUCUGCUCUGAAUUAUAAAGUGCCUAAUGAUCUGUGGUCUGGAAAGAAAUCUGAAUAUUCCCAUUUGAGAAUAUUUGGAUGCCAAGCUUUUGCUCAUAUUAGGCAAGAUAAACUACAGCCUAGAGCAUUGAGAUGUGUUAUGCUUGGGUAUCCAAAGGGAGUUAAAGGCUACAAGUUAUGGUGUCUUGAGCCUGCAAAUCAGAAAUGCUUGAUAAGCAGAGAUGUGACAUUUAUAGAGGAGAAAAUGCCUUUCUUAGAAAAGGAAGAUGCUGAAGUUGUAAGAAAAGAAGCAGCUCACUUCGAGGUGGAGUUUACUCAGGAGGAGUUUGCUCAAAAUCAGCAACAUGAUGGUGUGGAAAUAGAAUCAGAUGCAGAUGAAGCAUUAUCAGAUGAAGGUGAACAAGAAACUGAUCUGGCAGACUAUCAAUUAGCAAGAGAUAGAGUAAGAAGAGAAGUUCAUCCACCAAACAGAUUUGGACAUGCAGAUUUGGUUUCAUAUGCUCUCAACAUAGCAGAAGAGAUCAACUAUGAUGAGCCUAAAAACUAUAAAGAAGCAGUUCAUUGUAAGGAAAAGGAUCAGUGGAUAAAAGCAAUGCAUGAAGAAUUGGAAUCUAUGUAUAAGAACAAGACAUGGAUACUGGUGGACAAGCCUAAGAAACAAAAAUGCAUUGGAUGUAAAUGGAUUUACAAAAAGAAGGUGGAGCUAAUUGAUGGUGUUGAGAAACUAAGGUACAAAGCUAGAUUGGUGGCAAAGGGAUUUACACAAAAGGAAGGUGUAGAUUUCAAUGAGGUUUUCUCCCCUGUGGUCAAACAUACAUCUAUCAGAUUACUGCUAGCUAUAGUUGCUCAAAAUGGUUUGGAAUUGGAGCAGUUGGAUGUUAAAACUGCCUUCCUAAAUGGAGACUUGGAAGAGAAUAUAUACAUGAUCCAACCAGAGGGUUUUAUAGCUGAGGGUAAUGAGAACAAGGUGUGUUUGCUUAAGAGAUCAAUUUAUGGCCUGAAGCAAAGCUCGAGGCAAUGGUACCUCAAGUUUGAUGAACACAUGAAGGCUAUAGGGUUUAUGAGAUCUGACUAUGACAGCUGCGUAUACAUCAAGAACACAACUGAACAUGGAAUGACAUAUCUUCUACUAUAUGUAGAUGAUAUGUUAGUGGCAGGGAGCAGCAGAGAUGAAUAAAAAAGGUGAAGCAGGAUCUAAAAGCUAGGUUUGAAAUGAAGGAUCUGGGGCAGGCCAGGAGAAUUUUGGGUAUGGAUAUCUUAAGAAAUAGAAAGGCUGGUACACUGUGGUUGUUCCAAGAAGAUUACAUAAGGAAGAUACUCAGGAAAUUUCAGAUGGCAGAAUCCAGACAAGUGCAGGUUCCUCUGGGGCAACAUUUCAAACUCAGUUCAGAUCAAAGGCCAAUGACUGAUGAAGAAAAAAGGUACAUGAGGAAUAUACCCUAUUCUAAUAUUGUUGGAAGUAUUAUGUAUUGCAUGAUAUGCACUAGACCAGAUUUAUCUCAUGCUAUAAGUGUCACAAGUAGAUACAUGAGUGAUCCAGGAAAAGGUCAUUGGGAAGCUUUGAAGUGGAUACUGAGGUAUCUUAAAGGAGCAUCAUCUGUUGGUAUUAUGUUUAGGAAACAUAGUCCUGUAAAAGAAGAUAUAUUAGAGGGGUAUGUAGAUUCAGAUUACGCAGGUAAUGUGGAUACAAGAAAGUCACAAACAGGUUACAUUUUUACACUCUAUGGAUCAGCUAUUAGCUGGAAAUCUGUGCUCCAACCUGUAGUAUCUCUUUCAACUACAGAAGCUGAAUAUAUGGCAUUAACUGAGGCUGUGAAAGAAGCAUUGUGGUUAAAGGGGAUAUUAUCUGAGUUUGGAAUCAAACAAAGGUGUGUGAAGAUAAACUGUGACAGUCAAAGUGCAAUACACCUUACUAAGCAUCAAGUGUUUCAUGAAAGGAGCAAACACAUUGAAGUUAAGUACCACUUUUAUCAGAGAUAUUGUGAAUAAGGGGAAGGUUAAAGUUGUUAAGGUUGGUACUGAGGAUAAUGCCUCAGAUAUGCUAACAAAAGCUUUAACUGUUGAUAAGUUCAAGCAUUGCUUGAAACUUGUAAAUGUGCUGCUUAGGCGGCAGUGAGUUCUUUAAACAUGAUGAUAGCCCUGUACUGGGGCAGAUUGGAAGGAAGUUGAAGCUUUUAUUACACAACCAAGGUGGAGAGUGUUGGGAUGAUUGUGUAAUAUACUGGAACUUGAAGGUCUUAAAGGUUAUUUUCUUAAGGACCUAUCAGCAAUAUUGUAUGAGUUUGUUAGUUGAAUAUGGAGCUGUUGGAGCAGACUUCAAUCUCAGCCGUUGGAUGAGUUUCUUUCUGUUCAAGAUAGGUCUUCAUCAACAAAACAGAACAAGUGCAGCUGGGUUUCAGUUAGAGAGUGAUCAUCUUCGUUUUCCUUCUUCAUCUUUUACUGAGUGGAAAAAGUAAAGUGGAGAGGUGUGUGUUUUCAUGAGAGAUUGAGAUGUGUUCUGAUCUGCUUGUGUGCUGUAACUUCACUCUUGAUUCUUGGCAAUAAAAUCUUCGAUUUACUUCCCGUGGAUGUAGGAUAAGAGAUUAUCCGAACCACGUAAAUUCCCAUUGUGUUGCUGUUAUAUGUUUUGAUUCAUAUUGCUUGAUAGAGUUGAUUGUUGUUGCGUUGGUGGUGGAAGAUACCAGAUUGAGUGCAAUUGGUUUUCUUUCAAU
rnacentral:lncRNA from 1 species